GUGCCUGUAGCUCAGUUGGAUAGAGCGACAGCUUGCGGAGUUGUAGGUCGGGGGUUCGAGUCCCUCCAGGCAUACCA
rnacentral:tRNA from 1 species